GGUAUCAUGCUUGAAAGGUCCAUUCUUUACACCUUAGCAUCAUUUGGUAGAAAUUGACUCCUAAUUUCCUAUUCAAGCAUAUGUGCAAGCUUUCAAAUCCAAACUCUUAGCACAUAUGUAGGGGGAGAAAUUGCUACCAAUUUGGGUUUAUGAAACUUGUCCAUAACCUUUGCACAUUGUAAAAUGCUUGGGCAAGUAACAUAAAUCCAUGAAAAUUUUAUUGAAAAUCUUUGUAAAUAGGGUUGUCAUCAAUUACCAAAAAGGGGGAGAUUGAAAGCCCUAGUUUGGUUUUGGAUAAAUGAUGAAACCCUAGUACUAACCUCUAUACUAAGUGUGUGUAGACUUAACGAGGUUGGUACAUGCCAAGUGAUAGAGCAAGUGAUGAUCAUGGUGAUGACCACAAGAUGAUAAAGUGCUCAACUUGGAAAAGAAGAAAAACAAAAACAAAAUCCUAUGG
rnacentral:lncRNA from 1 species